rnacentral:rRNA from 1 species
AGUCGAGGGANACUAUUGGAUUCGUCUGAUGGGAAACCGGCGCACGGGUGCGUAACACGUAUGCAACCUACCUAUAACUGGGGUAUAGCUCAGAGAAAUCUGAAUUAAUCCCCCAUAAGAUUAUGUUCUGGCAUCAGGAAGUAGUUAAAGCUGAGGCGGUUAUAGAUGGGCAUGCGUUGCAUUAGCUAGUUGGUGAGGUAAUGGCUCACCAAGGCUACGAUGCAUAGGGGGUCUGAGAGGAUGAUCCCCCACACUGGUACUGAGACACGGACCAGACUCCUACGGGAGGCAGCAGUAGGGAAUAUUGGUCAAUGGACGCAAGUCUGAACCAGCCAUGCCGCGUGCAGGAAGACGGCCCUAUGGGUUGUAAACUGCUUUUAUAUGGGAAGAAACCCCCUGAUGCGUUAGGGGCUGACGGUACCAUAUGAAUAAGGAUCGGCUAACUUCGUGCCAGCAGCCGCGGUAAGACGAAGGAUCCAAGCGUUGUCCGGAUUUACUGGGUUUAAAGGGUGCGUAGGCGGGAAAUUAAGUCAGUGGUGAAAGCCCUCAGCUCAACUGAGGAACUGCCAUUGAAACUGAUUUUCUUGAAUAUGGUUGAGGUAGAUGGAAUAUAACAUGUAGCGGUGAAAUGCUUAGAUAUGUUAUAGAACACCGAUUGCGAAGGCAGUCUGCUAAGCCAUUAUUGACGCUGAGGCACGAAAGCGUGGGGAGCAAACAGGAUUAGAUACCCUGGUAGUCCACGCCCUAAACGUUGAUUACUCGCUGUUGGCGAUACACUGUCAGCGGCUAAGCGAAAGCGUUAAGUAAUCCACCUGGGAAGUACGUCCGCAAGGAUGAAACUCAAAGGAANUGACGGGGGCCCGCACAAGCGGAGGAGCAUGUGGUUUAAUUCGAUGAUACGCGAGAAACCUUACCUAGGCUUAAAUGU